rnacentral:pre_miRNA from 1 species
UCUUUAUUUCACGUACUCUCUCACCGGUCAGAGAGGCGAGAGAGUGUGCAAAAUGAAGAGA